UGAUGUGCUAAUGUGUCGGUUU
rnacentral:miRNA from 1 species